rnacentral:rRNA from 1 species
UACGUAGGGUGCAAGCGUUAAUCGGAAUUACUGGGCGUAAAGCGUGCGCAGGCGGUUCUAUAAGACAGAUGUGAAAUCCCCGGGCUCAACCUGGGAACUGCAUUUGUGACUGCAUCGCUGGAGUACGGCAGAGGGGGAUGGAAUUCCGCGUGUAGCAGUGAAAUGCGUAGAUAUGCGGAGGAACACCGAUGGCGAAGGCAAUCCCCUGGGCCUGUACUGACGCUCAUGCACGAAAGCGUGGGGAGCAAACAGG